UCCCAUCAGAAGUAAGAACACCAUAAAUAUCCUCUUCAAAAGAUUAAUUUAAAUUCCUAAAUCAUGUCAAACUAGUUUUCUGAUAUGAUGCAUGGUUAAACUCAAACAUCAAGACAGUCCUGAUCAUCUAGAGAUCAUUUCUUUCAGAAAGAAAACAUGCUGAUGUGUUUCUGUCUCCAUCUUCAGCAAAACUGCCAUGGACCUCAACUGCAGAAACCUUCCUGAUCUUAGAGGUUCUUGAACAUCUGAGAGACCUUAGCUAGUUCCCACUGCAGACUGCACAAUGGACAGAACGGCACCAAACUGCUCAGGAUGUCCUGCCAUCUACCAAAAGGAAACCACAAAAACUAACUUUGGACAGUGACCAGA